UACAGAGGUCUCAAGCGUUGUUCGGAUUCAUUGGGCGUAAAGGGUGCGUAGGUGGGCAGUUAAGUCAGUGGUGAAAUCUCCGGGCUCAACCCGGAAACUGCCAUUGAUACUAUCUGUCUUGAAUAUCGUGGAGGUAAGCGGAAUAUGUCACGUAGCGGUGAAAUGCUUAGAUAUGACAUAGAACACCAAUUGCGAAGGCAGCUUACUACCCGAAUAUUGACACUGAGGCACGAAAGCGUGGGGAUCAAACAGG
rnacentral:rRNA from 1 species